CGGGAUACAAACACGUGGCGAGAACGAUGGAUGGCGGCCAUCUUAAACUCCAGAACGGGGAGCGUUGAGCACCUGGAACUAUUUUCAGUAUGGCUCUCCAGAAAUUCCCUGUCCCCCAUGGAAGUCCCGUCUGACCUAUCUCCACGAACUGUACACGAAUGGUGUUUGGGAGUUUCAAUCUACCGAACGAGGGAAGCACUCUCAUGUAACCAGCUACAUUACAUCUAUG